rnacentral:lncRNA from 1 species
CCAAAAUGGCAUAUCUUUCUUAGUCUUCCUUCCCCCAAUGGAAUGAGCACAACAUGGUACUAAUACCACCAUUAAAAGAAAAAAAAUUAAAAGAAGACAUGCCAAUGUACAAGUUACAUCAUAAUUUAUGCAUUAUUCCUUGAACAUGACUUAACUCAGUUAUCCCCUGUGGUGAACGCUUCUUCUUGUUCCUUGGGGUUAAUUCUAUUGACAGUUGCACCCACAUCAUAGGCCACUUCAGUUUUUUCGACAUCUUUUGGCGUUUCAUUAACAGUUGGAGUGCUCUCAA